AUUUACAAAAUGUUCAUGGCAGGGCCCACUUCACAGGGCUGUGAGGAUUACAGAGGAUAAUCUGGGUGAGGCGCAUCAGCCCCAGCGCCGCCUGCCACAAUUCUAUCCGGCCCCACAUAUGCAUCGUCCAUAAGCGUCCGGCCCCUGCAUUCUCGCUUUUCCACGUGGCCGAGGUGCACACCCCAACCCACUGGGCCAGUCUCCCCACCCUCUUACCUGCUCUUCUUUCCCGACUCGUCUUUAAUACCCACCAGGAGCCAAUCGCCGCGGGCCUGGCUCUGUGGCGGCAAGUUGCAUGGGUUCUCCCAUCAGGACCUCCCGAUGAGCCUACGAGGUCGGUUCUACUACUGUCGCCACUUCAGAGGGAGGAAACAGGCCCGCAGGGUUGGGGAACUUCCCGAGGUCACUGAACUGGUGUCAGGCCCAGAUUGGAAUCCAAACACAUCCCAGCCCAUGCCCGGCUCCCCAGCGCCGGCUCCCGGGCGUCUUCCCGGGUGCCAGCGGCACCCGCAUCCAUUCAAAUGCUGCCCAGUCCCCGCUCCUCAGUCGCUUCCCUCUACUACGCGCCCGCAUCUCCCCCCGACCCCUCAGGGUCAGGCCUCUCGGUGGCUUUUCCUUUUUCUCUUCCAGAAACUAAGGGGUGAGACCGACGUUUGUGUGCCGGACGCGUGCAGGUGGCGGCGACGCUCCCGGGAGACGCGGGGGGAGAACCAGUCUGUGCGCGCGGCUGUGAGAAGCCCCGACCAAGCUUUCCACGCGCUUGUUUCGGGCAGCAGAGGACGCGAGGGCCGACUGCGUCCCCAGUGCGCAGGCUCGGCCGGGGGCGCGUAAUCAGGCAGCCCAGCGGUCCCUUCAAACCGAGGCAGGCAAGCUCUACGUCUUGGGGGCCGCAUGGUGCCGAGAGCGCAAACCAGACCCGCCCCGCCCCUCCGUGCCACGCACGCGCUCGGCUCCGCGCUUAAUGGCUGGAGUGCAGUGGCGCGAUCUCGGCCCAUCGCAACCUCCAUCUCCCGGGUUCAAGCAAUUCUCUGCCUCAGCCUCCCGAGUGGCUGGGAUUACAGAAGCAGUAUCUGACUGUGUUGCCCAGGCUGGUCUUGAACUCCUGGUCUCAAAUGAUUCUCCUGCUUUGGCCUCCUAAAGUGCUGGGAUUACAGACAUGUUUAUUCAGUUUUUAAUGUCAGACCAUAAGAGUGUCAGGCCUCUGAGCCCAAGCUAAGCCAUCAUAUCCCCUGUGACCUGCAUGUAUGCAUCCAGGUGGCCUGAAGUAACUGAAGAAUCACAAAAGAGGUGAAAAUGGCCUGUUCCUGCCUUAACUGAUGACAUUACCUUGUGAAAUUCCUUCUCUUGGCUCAUCCUGGCUCAAAAACUCCCCCACUGAGCACCUUGUGACCCCCGCCCCUGCCUACCAGAGAACCCCCUUUGACUGUAAUUUCCCACUACCUACCCAAAUCCUAUAAAACGGCCCCACCCCUAUCUCCCUUCGCUGACUCUCCUUUCGGACUCAGCCCACCUGCACCCAGGUGAAAUAAACAGCCUUGUUGCUCACAC
rnacentral:lncRNA from 1 species